CAGAGGGUAGUUUAGAUUAAAAUUUUAAUUUUGGAGAUUAAUGAUAAGAUAUAUUCUUUCCUCUGA
rnacentral:tRNA from 1 species